AGAGUUUGAUUCUGGCUCAGAACGUACGCUGGCGGCACGCCUAACACAUGCAAGUCGAACGAAGUAGCAAUACUUAGUGGCAGACGGGUGAGUAACAUGUAGGUAUCUGCCCUUUGGCCUGGAAUAACACGAGGAAACUUGUGCUAAUACCGGAUAAGUCUUUACGGAGAAAGCUUUAUGCACCAUUGGAUGAGCCUGCACUUGAUUAGUUUGUUGGUGGGGUAAUGGCCUACCAAGACUGUGAUCAAUAGCUGAUUUGAGAGGAUGAUCAGCCACAUUGGGACUGAGACACGGCCCAAACUCCUACGGGAGGCAGCAGUGGGGAAUCUUGCACAAUGGAGGAAACUCUGAUGCAGCGAUGCCGCGUGAGUGAAGAAGGCCCUUGGGUUGUAAAGCUCUUUCGUCGGGGAAGAAAAUGACUGUACCCGAAUAAGAAGGUCCGGCUAACUUCGUGCCAGCAGCCGCGGUAAUACGAAGGGACCUAGCGUAGUUCGGAAUUACUGGGCUUAAAGAGUUCGUAGGUGGUUGAAAUAGUUGGUGGUGAAAUCCCAGAGCUUAACUCUGGAACUGCCAUCAAAACUUUUCAGCUAGAGUAUGAUAGAGGAAAGCAGAAUUUCUAGUGUAGAGGUGAAAUUCGUAGAUAUUAGAAAGAAUACCAAUUGCGAAGGCAGCUUUCUGGAUCAUUACUGACACUGAGGAACGAAAGCAUGGGUAGCGAAGAGGAUUAGAUACCCUCGUAGUCCAUGCCGUAAACGAUGUGUGUUAGACGUUGGAAAUUUAUUUUCAGUGUCGCAGGGAAACCGAUAAACACACCGCCUGGGGAGUACGACCGCAAGGUUAAAACUCAAAUGAAUUGACGGGGACCCGCACAAGUAGUGGAGCAUGUGGUUUAAUUCGAAGAUACGCGCAGAACCUUACCAACACUUGACAUGUUCGUCGCGACUCUAAGAGAUUAGAGUUUUCGGUUCGGCCGGACGAAACACAGGUGCUGCAUGGCUGUCGUCAGCUCGUGUCGUGAGAUGUUGGGUUAAGUCCCGCAACGAGCGCAACCCUCACUUUUAGUUGCCAUCAUUAAGUUGGGCACUCUGAAAGAACUGCCAGUGAUAAGCUGGAGGAAGGUGGGGAUGACGUCAAGUCCUCAUGGCCCUUACGUGUUGGGCUACACACGUGCUACAAUGGUAUUUACAACAGGAAGCAAGACUGCGAAGUUAAGCAAAUCCCUAAAAAAUACCUCAGUUCGGAUUGCACUCUGCAACUCGAGUGCAUGAAGCUGGAAUUACUAGUAAUCGUGGAUCAGCGUGCCACGGUGAAUGCGUUCCCGGGUCUUGUACACACCGCCCGUCACACCAUGGGAGUUGGUUCUACCUUAAGGCAAGGUUUUAAACCCUUGACCACGGUAUAGUCAGCGACUGGGGUGAAGUCGUAACAAGGUA
rnacentral:rRNA from 1 species